AGCAGCUGUCUCCAUUCUUGUGGCCCAAAAUAACUGUCAAAAGAAUAUAUAUAUAUAAGUGCUAAACAGUGUUGGGCCUGGUUAGUACUUGGAUGGGAGAUCAUCUAGGAAUACCAGGUGCUGUAGGUG
rnacentral:rRNA from 1 species